GGGGAAAGGCGGGAAGCGUCCCUUUAACUGCAGCCUUAAAAAAAAAAAUUUAAAAAAUCCCCUCAGGCUGCAGUUAAAGGGACGCUUCCCGCCUUUUCU
rnacentral:miRNA from 1 species